GAGAUUAAGGCCUCACAGGUUAGGCUGAACUGAUUUUAGUAAAAGCAGUUUAGAUACAAGCUGACCUUAAGAUAUACCUGAAAAAAAUUGAACUGGAACAUCCUUUCUGUUUCUUUGUUAUUUUUAUGUUUUAAACAGCAAGUGCAUGCGGUUGGUAGCAGCUAGUCAAAAAGAGGUCUUUUGCAAGCGGGCUGUUAGAUACGCGAACUGGUAUUUGUGGAUGAAAACACUUGCCUUGAGAGGCAUUCUAGAUGUGCGUUAUCCACCCCAGCAGUUUCCAACACAAAGUAUCAUAUCAUGCCUGGUGCUUAAAAGGAGGACAGAAGAAAUGUCACUUUUCCUAAGUGCAUUCCUUGCAUCUCUAGAACAGCCAUCUAGAUGAUAAUAACUUAACAAAAUUUAAUUUUCAUCAGUAAUAUUCUUGAAUUGCUGAGAUCAUUUGUCUUAGAUCAGAUGAAGUCACUCAUAAUCUAAGUAACUGCAAAUUCAGGAUUUCUAAGUAUGGAAAGUCAAUGUAUCCAAUUGUCCUGCUGUUUUUGCUAUUUAAUACAACUGACAACUGUUUUAACUUUGUGGAGUUUGUGCAAUGGUCAUAAUACAAAAUGAGGAGGAGGACAGGCUGCUUCCACUGCUUGCAGCUUGAUCAGCCUUUCACUGUGCAGUCUUCUUGCAUGCUGGUUUUCUAGGCAAUGUCGAGCUUGAUGCUGACUGCUUUUUCCUCCCUGCCAGAGGAGAUCUGCAAUGAAGCGGGUAGGAGCCUGUGUGCUCAGGCUGGUUGCCCCGAGGCUUGGGCUCUAAGUGACCACCUUUACAGCAAAGUGUCAAGUGUGUGAUGCUUGGUGGCACCUGCCCUGCUGUUAGCCUGCUGCACAAAGAUUAUGUGCCUAAAUGCAUUUGUUCUAGCUGUCCAGGCAGGGCUUGGUGAAUAAUAGCAAGGUGAUAGUGUUCACAGCACUGUGAACAACUUCAUUUUCUUUUCCAUACAAUAAGCUUUAUUAAGACCAUUAAUGAGACAAAUUAUUUGCGAGAGACAUUCCAGAUCACACCUUCUAUCGUUGCCUUAAAAUCCAAAAAUCUGUGUUACUACAGAUACUUCUCAAGUAGUGAUGAUGUCUUCUGUUAUUCAAGGUAUACUUGAAGUCUCAGGUCUCACACAGGUAACUUCUAUCUGCAGGUUGUUGUACACUUUUUCAGUCUCUUCUAGUCCGAUUCUUGUGUAGACUUCUUCAUGAUCUCACACCUGUUGCUGUAAUCUCUAGCAGUUUUUUGAUAGGUGGCCCUUGGCAAGGUGCACAGUACUCUGGAAGAAAAGAAAUUGAAGAUGUAUUGCAGCAGCAUCUUAUUUACCUUUCAAAAUGCUGCUAUAAAGAAAGUAAAAUGCUAUAGCGUUGUACUGGGUCUGGCCAGGAUGGAGAAUUUUCCUCACAGCAGCUCUCAUGAUGCUGUGUUUUAGAUUUGUGACCAGAACAGUGCUGAUAACACACUAAUGUUUUAGCUGUUGCUGGACAGUGUUCGAGGCCUUCUGUGUUUCUCACUCUGUUCUUCUGCAGUGAAUGGACUGCGGAUGUUCAGGAGGUGGGGAUGGGACCUGUAGGUACCAAAGAGAUGUUCCGUGAUGUAUCAUGUCAUGCUCAGCAAUAAAAAGGGGGAGGAGUGGGUUUAGGAAAAUUAGCCUUCUUUUGCUCAGGAACUUUCUGUGCCUUGGUCUGCCUGUGGGACGUGGUACAUGCUGUGGUCCUGCUCCUGACACGGCUCUUUUGCCAUAGGGGAAGCCCACGAGGAAGGCUGCCUUUCUGAAGACUGGAUCCAUUGAACUCAAGGGAAGUAAUCCCAGCUGACUUGGACGACUCUAAACCAGGUGACAGCAUGCUCACUGGACUAAUCAAAGGCCAAGGUGGUCUCCAGCCCUUUGAAGUCACAUUUCAAGUCACUGAGCUCAUCUUCUAGCAUCUGUGUGCUACUACUCCUAACAGCUCUGUCAUAGCUGGGAUUUGGCUCGGUCAGUGGAGUCAAGCGGCAGCUCUGAUAACUUCUUACUGUUCACCAACCCUGGAGGGAUUAUGCUGGAUUCAAUCUCUGGUAUCUAAAAUAAGAAAGACAGGCAUAAUGAUAAAAGAGCUACAGUUGUGCAGAAAGGCUAAUCACUGCUUAAGAUACUCUCUGAUUUAGCUUCCUAGCCCCACGGCCAUGACACUGGCAUACUGGUGCUUGUGGACAUUUGUCUAUCUUUGCAAAGGGAAAGUUCUCAGAGGGGGGUGCAGGAGUGUUAAAAGUAGACAUUCGUACCCACUACCUCUCUUUUUUUCUCGUGGACAAGAUCACUCACUGCCCAGGAUGCAUAUCUCUGUCAUCUGAACGUGGAAGACAUGCAUUCAGUAAUAGUGUUGGAAUUCAAACAGCAUGACUAACUGCCUUUUCACAGCAGUUUUGUUUGCUGUUCACUGCCCUUCAAGUUCAAUAUAUAUUAGGUGGAAACUUACCUUCCUCUUCCCCUUUGCAUCUCUGUUUCCAUGGUUGAUCCUGGGGAAAAAAAAAUGGUUACUGGAGACAAUGGAGCCUCAAAAAUAAUGGUGCCAGUUUGUCUAGUUAAAGGUCAGGUAUUGGUCAUGUAUUUCCUAAUUCUUUGGGUUUCUGUCACAACAUGAGAAGAUUAUUUGAUAUCCCAUCUCUAGUCAUGGCACUGGGAGCACCUCUCAGACUAACAUUCCCUUGAAACUCCCAAGGUGGUCUGUGAAGUGAUGACCCGAGUUCUGUCAUUGCUGAAUAAAGAUUUCUGUUCAGCCUGCCACAGCUUGUGCUGAAGGCACCGUGUGGCUUUGCCUGAGGAUUGCUCUACAGUGCUAGACACCCGCCAGACUGUUAGAAUUCAUUUGGAACAAUGCGGUGGAUGAAAUGUGGGCAUACACUGUGCAAAGUGUGCAAAACUAACAGGAGUCGCCAGGGCUGGGGAGAGAAAGCCUCCUGUUUUAUAAACUCAUUCACAUUUCACGACUGGAAAACAGGGAGACAAACAAACAAAACACAACAAGGUAUGAGGUGAGCCCGGUUGUUCAUGGCCCAGGGGAACAUGCUUACACAUGCAUGGUGUGAACCCUGAAUAUUCGUCUGUAGAAGGCACUUGAAGCAGUUCAGGUAAAUGUCACUUCGUGAUUCUGGCUUAUGGUGUUAUUUAACAUUUCCUUUGGGGUUACCGUCAUACAAAUAGCUACCAAUGACAAGACGUGCUAUCCACCAGCAAGCCUGUAGGAUGAUAACAGCACUUUUCUUUUAUUUGCUGGGUGCACCAUCCCCUAGAGACAGAAGCAUGUUACAGAGGACAGGCAGCACAUAAUAGCCUCAUUUAGGCUUAUGUGAAAAUUCUUGCAUGGCUGUCAGCAAUCAAGAGAGGGUGAAGUGGCAGCAUGAUGCAUAAUAACAGCAAAAAAGAAUGUCUGAAAGGACUGAAUUGAAUUCAUCCAUACUUGUAUCAGUUGGCAGUCGGUUUGGAUGCCAUAGAAAUAAUAAUGCAGGACUUUUCUUGUAAUGUAUUUGCUCUCUUCACAUGUGAUUUUUCAGACCAACAUGCUGACAGGCUUCUUUAGAUCUUUCUUGUACUGCUUCCACCAGUUGUGACAGGUAGUGUAAGUACCAUGACACCAGCUUCAGGAAGGUGUACCAAGUCCUUAGGAUGCUGGCCUGCAUCUCGAGAGGCUGGGAUGUAAUUCUCUGCCAUGUCCUUCCUGUGUAACCCUGGGCAAGUCUCUUAGAGAGGUUUCAGUUGCCUAAACAUAGUGCAUUUUAGGUGUGUUUGGGUAUCACCAGCCGCCGCUCCAGCAGGGCACGGGUCUCCUCUAAGCCCUGUGUCAUAUCUUUUUGCCCCUUGAGGAUGUCCCAGAUACCCAAGGGCAAUUUAAAAUGCUAGAUGCCAAAGUUUUGGUAACUGAACAGCAUCCUUCCCUCUUUCAGUGCUGUACUGGUAAAAUCAGGGUAACAGCAUUAGCCAGCAUUGGGAAGGGUUGAAGAUAAACUAGGGAGACAGAGCUGCUGCUCAGUACAAAAGCAUUGAUGGCAGUUUAAAUACAAAGGCAUUGACGAUUGCUUACCCUGUGGAAGCUGGAGGUAGACAUGAAAGAAGACCCUCUUUUCUGCCUCUCACUGCCAUCAGCUAAAAUCAAUAUUAUUGUGCAGAAUAUGUGAGAGAGGCUCUUGAAGAGGAGUCUCGCUGAAGUGGUGCACUGUAGCCUCCAACAUAAAUCUGUCUUAACUGACUAAAGUUAGCAGUUCAGUCCCGUCUGAAUAAACUACUAAGCAAGUAAAAAAAAUGCGUUACUUUACCUGCAUUAUUUCUUGGUUUAGAGGCUGCUCCUUUUAUUUUUUUCUUUUUUUAAUUGCUCUAAGGGAAUCCUUGGAUCAGGAUUGAACACAGUCCUUGGAAAAGAAGAGAAGCUGCAUUUGCAACAGUAUGUUGGCAUAGACAGUUUUUUGCACACUGAGUCAGUCUCCUUGGUGUUACGCUGGUGCUGCUCUACCAGUUUAGCAUAGGCUGAGAUGGAGUUGCACAUGCAGGAAGUAGAAAUAAAAUCUGAGCCCAUCUAUUCGAUAGCUUGAAAUCUGAAAAAUGGUCUAGUUUUUCCUAGACCAUUUCCUAUUCACCUCUCAACUGCAGAGCCCCGAGUUGAGCUGAUGACAAUCCUUGUAGGCAGCAAGUUUUUCUGGUUGAUAGAAACCUGACAUUUGUCUGGGUAGCAGAAGGCCACUGACUGCCAGGAGGGGAUUAUUUAGCUUGUCAUUAAGCCAGGACUGCACUCAUGCUUCCAUCUGUGCAAGCAUGUUUCUGCAGCAGUGCUUGGUAUUGCCUUUAGUGAACAAAGUGAACAGUGUGCCUCUUCUGGUGCUGGAGGGGCAGAAUUUUCAAGGACAGAGCUAGAUCGUCUUUCAGCAUGGAAGAGAAGCAUACACAGGCUGUUACCUGGAUGAAGAGAGCAUUACGCUGACAGGCUUAAUCCUUUCCACAAAAGAAUGAUGGGGAAAGACUGGGGACCAGAACUGAUGACAUUUACUUGCCGACGUUGUGCUGACAAUAUUGAUUGUACCACAUAAUGUUCACCCUACCUGCACCUCCUCCUUAAAGAGGACCCAAAGCACCCUGGAUUUCUGGAGCAAGCCUGCCACUGCUUCAUUCAGGGGAUCCUCCUUCCUCUCCAGCCACCCUGCUACAUGGAAAGGAGCAGGGAGAAAAAGACAUGACCAGCCCAGACACAGAGAAUAUCCCAGUAGCACUGCGUAAGAAAGCAGAUUUCUUCUUGUUAACCUGGCUAAAGAGAGGAAGAAAUCCUCUGUGGGUGUAAGAAAAAGAAGCAAGUGAAUGCUGACGUGGGAACAGCAUUAAUGCACUCUCUGGAGUCUUGGGACUCGUGGGGGGCCCUUGCCAUGGAAAGCACAAAUGCCCUGAGUAAGGGAUUCUGCAGGAUUGUCAAAGGAAAGGAUGUUGCGGAGAGAUUAUAUUUUUACCUUUUAGGCUCGUACGUUUAUACACUGACAGGGGAGAAUGUGGUUUAUAGACUGGUAUAACCAAGUGCAAACCAAAUGUAUCUUGGCACAGUCAAAUGUCUCUUUCAAAAACCUGCUCAGUGGCAAGAAGGGAAAUAGCUGCUAAGUGUAAAAAGAAGGAGCGAAGGACCUGUGAUUCAUGCUCUGAUCAUGUUCUGUCAGUAUGUCUGUGCAGUGGAGUCGUAUGAAUAACUAGUGGAGAUUGAUAAUAUGCUUAAAUACUGUUCCUGCUGCUAAGCAUUAGCAUGGCUGCUUGACAGCACAGCAGAGAGGCCAGACACGUUCACCAGGAAAGGCUAGGCAAGCUGCAGCGAGCUGCAGGACUCUGGCUCUUCCAGCAAUGUGUGAGCAGCAGAAUCAAAAAUGAAUUUAAUCCUUUGGCUAACGUGCCUUUUGGGUAGCUUUCCUACAGCUUAGUGUUACUCGAAACAAGCUAUGGCUUGAGUUUUUGGGGUUUUGUUCCUUUUCAGACUAUCUGUAAGGAUUAUAUUUUAAACCAAGGCCAGUGGCAACAUGUUGAAGAGUCAUGAAACUGCCUUGCUAGUCUUUGUACGUUAAAAUGCCCAACUGUUGCAUCACUGUCAGGCAUUUGCUCAGUGUUUUCAAUUAAUUGUUACUGAAAAGGACUUCUGAGAUGCACAUUUCUGUGUGGCAGAGCCAGUGUCUGGCUGCAGUACUCCUGUAAGGCAACAGAGCCAUGGUAAUUUGCACCAGCAAAGUACUUUUCCCAAUGCUGCUGUAUGUUAAAAGCCAUGGAAGUUUGAUGUGAUCCAUACAUGCAGAGGGCUUGGCCUUGUGUCUAACCUUGCUAAGAGCAUGUUCCAGCUUAGCCAGGGGCGCUGCACAUACUGUGGCCAGCAUAACACGCCAGCUCAGGGGAGCUUCUGCCUCUUCACGUUUGCCUCCCUUGGGCUGGAGGAGGCUCGGUGAUUUGCCCAGGUCAUAGCUGGCAGCCUUGGGGAACGUGCGCUGCUCUUCCAGGAUGGAGAAAAUGCCCAUGGGCUGAGGGGAUGGGAAAAAAAGCAUCAGGGUAUCAAUAGAGUCGUGCCACUGGUCCAUUUUCUGCACCAUGUUUUAUCCUUUCACCCUGGGCCUGGUCAUGUUCUUCUGGAGCUUGCCAGAAUUCAGACCCAUGAGGGAAGCAACUUUGUCAGCCACUGUUGGAGGGAAGAAAAUCACCCUUCCCCUUAAUGCAUACUCAGGAAAGUGGUUACAGGCUGUGCUUUCAGGGACAGGCAGGCUCUCCAGCCCCACUGGGGACAGACUGGGAAGGACAGAAGUCUCAGCUCUGUCCCUUCACACACACACCAUUCAGCAGAGCUUGCUGGAUGGAGAGGAGGCAAGCAUACACACCUCAGACAAGGUGUUACAGCAACUGCUCUGUAUCUGGGCUCCCAUAUGCUCCGAGAGGUAUGCGCCUCUUUGCUCCACCAUGGCUCCAAGAAACACCUGCAAAGCAGGGCUCUUCAACAAAGAAGGAUCAAGUCCUUAGCUAACAGCUCAACCAUCUGGCUAGGCCUGCUGCCCUGUGGCAGCUGUGAAUGCCAGCUCUGACUCUCAAUAGCACAUCUGUUCAUUUAAACAACAACAGCAAAAAAUCAGUGUGUUGUUUAAGGUCAUUUUAUAUUCCCUGGAAACAGAGUCUGGCUUUAGCAGCUUCUCCAGUCCUAACAAACUGGCUGAGCUCGUAGCACGCUGGCUUUGUCCUGGUGUGUAAGCUCUCAGCCUACCUUCUUGGUGUCCACCUCUGCCUGCUCCUCUCUUGGCUCCUGCUUGAACUUCGUAGCGCUGAAGUGCAUGAAACCCCUAGCCAGCUUGUAAACACAGAUCUUCUCUUCUGGACCGAAGCCCAGUACAUCAAAGGCCACCUGGCAGAAGGGGCAUAGAGCCACGCAAGGGGAUUCUUAAUCUGCACCAUAAACUGGAAUCCGGCCCAUAAUGCUAGACAUCUAAAAUAAUUUUCCAGCCCAUUGAAAUUUGACCAGCCAGGUCCCUUCAGACUAACAUGGGACAGAGUAGCUUAAAGUUGCUGUGAGCCAGCAUUCUGCUCGGCUCUCCUGUACUGAUUUAUGCUAGCUAAGGACCGUGUGCUUUGACUGCAGUUGUUCUAAGUGCCUCUGCGAUACCACAAGCAAAAUGCAACGUAUUGCCUAGGGUAUCAGCUCGUUCCACUCUUCACCACGCUUUUUAAAAUCAGCAGGACGUGAGCAGCAGCAUCCCCUCGCAGCGACUGUCCCACAUCUCAGCUGGCACAGGUAAGGAGGAGGCGUUAGCUCUGCUGGCAGCACUGUGCCUUGCUCCCACUGCGUGCCCAGGGACGGGGGAGCGCACGACUUGGAGUAUGCCGGAGAAUCUUGCAGACAAUGUGCUACUCGCGAGCCAUGAUUUGGGGCUGCCUGUCUUAGUGGCUAUAAAAAUCGUAGCUGCUUUGUACAAAAGGCUUGUUUGCAAUGUACAAAUCCUGGAAGCUGUAAAAUACCAACAGCUGCUAGAAAGGGCACUGUAAGUUCAGCAGCUGGAGACUGUUUGAUCUUUCUGUAGCUCAAGUCCUGCUUAUAAUAAUAGUCUCAGGAGCCAGCAGAUAUUCCCAAUAAGCUCUUUUCGGUAUCAGAUACUCUUCAAAAUGAUAUUAAAAAGGAAAAUGUGUGUCAAAACCAGACAAAGGGUCAAGUCUUCCUUUACAAAAGCUGCUCCUAGAGAUUACAUAUGCAUGUGAGAUGGACAGGUUCUAACCCAUGGUCCUUGCCUCAGUUUUCAGAUCUGUCAGUUUUCAGGCUUCAAACAAACACUAUAGCCAGCUUGUUUGAAAUCCUGCAAACCCCAGGCCAUUGAAUGUUAACCAGAAACUCCUACGUCAAGCUUGUUUGCUCUGGAGCAAAUGUUUUACAUUCAGGCUUCAACUUAGAGAGAACUGAACAAAUCUUUACAUUAUUGCUAGCUGCUCUUCCUGUAGUUCAUUGAUCCUCAGGUUGAAGAAGCUGAAUUUUAUUAUUAGGAGGACCUCAGGCUGGGGGCAGCGUUGUGUUUGCUGCAUCAAUUUCAUCGAUGUUUCUGCAGGCUAACAUUAUUGAGAAGUGGCUCUUCCCAUUGCCGAGGUUGUCUGCUGUGAUCCCACCUUGAUGCAUCGCGGAUUGGGAACGGGCACAGGAAGCAGUUUCUGCAGCAGGAGACAGACCAAGAGGUUAUUAUACCAAAUGCCCUAAUCAGGGCACAACAUGAGCUUUUUGGCUGCAGACUGAGGGUUCUUCUAGGUUUCAAUUCCUGAGCACAUUUUGAGUGUAUCACUUUAGAAAAAAAAGCCAUUUUGGGGAUGAGUUGCUCAGGCUACCGAGAUUCUGACAUAGCAGCUGCAUCAGUGUAAGUGGGAUUGAACACCCAAACCUUUUCAACAUUUAUUGAAAAACUUGUCCUGGCUGUCUUUUCUGUCCUGAGGAGAUGUAAGCAAUUGACAUGAGGCAGCUCAACCCUUCAGUUUGAAAAGGAUUGGUUUUACUUCAGUGGCAGCCCUGCCAGAACAAGAGGGACCUCGCUGCGCAUUGAUCAAGAUACAGGAAGACAGCUUUGUUUCCUCACCCUGGCCUGCCUAAGGAGAAGUCACUUGCAAUCCUCUUCUUCCUGGACAUGAAGCAACAACCCCUCCACUGCACUGAACCUGUUUCAAUCCCUAGCCAAGUACAUGGUUCCUGUGAGUAGGUUUCUUAUUCUGGAAACAGAGGAUUGAGCAGGGAAGGCUGCAUUAAAGGGAGUGAAUCACUUGAACACAAAGUGCCAUUUUCAAUAAAUUCAGGUUUAUUCUUGGAGAUAAUCUGGUAGAAGAGGUGAUAACCUCUCUCCUCUGCUUCCUGGGAAAUGACACGUCUUCUCUAGAUCUGAAACAUGGGGAGAAAUCAUCCAGGUGCAGGUGGCAGCCAGAGGUUGAAAAAUUGCAGCCCCAUGUCAGUGGGACUGUACGUUUUGAUACCAGUGAAACCAGCAGUUCAGCAGUGUCCUUUGGAAGUCCUGUAAGUGCAGCAUAGCUCAUAAUAUCCUUCACUGAUGCUCUCCGAGAACGCUUUUAAGCUUCACAACAGUUCCCUUUGGGAUAAGUUUUAGUACAGCUAUUUUGGCAGCUCGUGAUGUGGAGGCAAAAAGAUGCCGUUGCUUUUCCAGCUGUGUCAGUGCUGGGUUCAGGAACAGGUCUCUGGACUGACUCAUCCCACUGCUAAGCAUCCUCUGAAUUGCCAGUGCAAGGUUUGGAGAUUGAUCUGUGAAACGCCUCCCUGUACUGCCCUUUCUUUCUGAGAAGAGCUCUGGAAAAGAUGUUUUGUGUGCUGUAAACUCUCUGCCAAUACCUCCCGUCAGGCCCUAACAUGGUUAGUUUGACUUCUGGUAUUGACAAAAAGCACACUUCCCCAGACCUCGGGGUAGCGAUUCAUUCGGCUGUACCAAAUAACCAGACCUCGCCGGCUGUCCUAGCUGGGCAUUUUCAUCUUUGCCUCUCGGCUGAAGUUGUCUGUCCGCAUAGGUCUGUAGGUGAAAGGGAUCGUGUGAGUUCUUCAGACAAAUUUGGGUUGGAUCGAACCACCUUCACUGUUAAUUGUAGCUAGUCCAGGUGACUUCAAGAAGCACUGAUGCAAUCCCUGCCAGCAGAGCUCCAGCGAGCGUGCAGAAGGGCCCUGAGCCAGUGCUGCUGCUUGCACAGUGAGGGUCUGUCCAUGCCCUCGCUCUCCUGGCCAGGCUGGAAGGAGGGGCAAGCUGCCAGAAAACAACCUGAAACCUGCCUUGGCCCACGGUCCAGAGAGGCAAACCCAACAUAUGGUCUCUUGGUGUGAUGCAAAUCUGGGAUGAGUUGAAAGUAGGAGGGAUGCAGACAAUCCCACAUUAAAGAAUAACCGGU